rnacentral:rRNA from 1 species
GACAGAGGAUACAAGCGUUGUCCGGAAUCAUUGGGCGUAAAGGGCGCGUAGGUGGCCCCUCAAGCGUGCGGUGAAAGUCAGGGGCUCAACCCCUGAUCGGCCGUGCGAACUGGGGAGCUUGAGCACUGUAGAGGCAGGCGGAAUUCCGGGUGUAGCGGUGGAAUGCGUAGAGAUCCGGAAGAACACCGGUGGCGAAGGCGGCCUGCUGGGCAGUUUUGCUGACACUGAGGCGCGACAGCGUGGGGAGCAAACAAG